rnacentral:misc_RNA from 1 species
GAAAUGCGAUACGUAAUGUGAAUUGCAGUUUCCGCGAAUCAUCAAAUUGUUGAACGCAAAUGGCACUCUUUGGCAUUCCGAAGAGUAUACCUGUUUGAGUAUCAUUUCCACUCUAUCAACGCUAUGUUGAUGUAGUGAGUGCUGUAAAUUGUUGUUGAAGAUGACAAUUACUCACUUUGAACUGAUAUAUAUAUAUAACUAAAAUAGUAGUUUGGCAAGUUAAACGUAAUGUAUAUGCAAAUAUAUAUACGUGUCAAGCUCAACUUUUGAUCUCAAAUCAGGCAAGACUACCCGCUGAACUUAA